AGAAGACCAGGGAAGGGAACAAAAGAGGAGGGUAGGGUGCAGCGGCAGCGGACCGGCAGCAGCGCGAGAGCACAGAAAUAAGCAAACGUUCUGGAGUAGGGAGCGGUGGACCGGGUACGGAUUGCCAACUGCAGGACUACGUGCGACUUUCUUUUUUUUUUUUUUUUUUGAAUUUGGAAUUCGUGGAGGAGUCAAAGGGCUGAUUGGAGGGGAGGUGGCGGGUUGAUGGAAUUUUUUCUAGGCAAUAAUAACAGCAGCACGCCCAGUACAAAAGGGGAUAUUAAAAGGAUUGAUUGCUUAUUUGUGUGUUUUUUCUUUCUUUCUUUCUUUCUUUUUUGUUCUUCGGAAAUAGACCGACCGAGAGAGUUCAGAAAGAAAAAAAAAAA